rnacentral:rRNA from 1 species
UACGAAGGGUGCAAGCGUUACUCGGAAUUACUGGGCGUAAAGCGUGCGUAGGUGGUUCGUUAAGUCUGUCGUGAAAGCCCCGGGCUCAACCUGGGAAUGGCGAUGGAUACUGGCGGGCUAGAGUGCGGUAGAGGAGAGUGGAAUUCCCGGUGUAGCAGUGAAAUUGCGUAGAGAUCGGGAGGAACAUCAGUUGCGAAGGCGGCUC